rnacentral:lncRNA from 1 species
CACUGAAUGAGUUUAUUUUUGUUUUGAAUUUAUUUAUAAAAAUAUAUUCAUAAUAAACUGUGAAUAGGACAUAACCACACCAAUAUGCAUUUUAAUUGUAUAUAAAAUUGUAAAAUCCAUUGUUUGAUUUAUAAAUAUCCACACUGGUAACACAAUCAAAUUCAAUUUCUAGUGUAGGUAUAUGAUUUAAAGAUAUAAAUUUCUGAAAUACAGAUGAAAAUGAUCCUAUUAAUUAUAAGUAGAUCUUUUAAUUUCUAGUUGUAGACGAAAUGAAAAAAAUAUAUAAUACGGAAAAUUACUAUGAAGACCAAUUUUUUACCAUAUCUGUUGAUUCUCAAAUGUAAUAUGGUAUGAUGGGUAUGCCUGUGUGUCAUGAAAUAUGACAUACAUAGUAGGGUUAAAUGGAUUAUCACAUGCUGAAUCAUAAGUAAUGUGCUUUGGUCUUCCUGGUGGAGACGGCAAUGUCUGCAUAUCUCGAUGUCCUUUGCAUGUAUCACCGACUGUAACUGAAGCUAGAAACAUAUGUCCGAUUCCUUGAGGUGUUGGUGCGUAUUUCAAGGAUAAAUCUACCUUAACUGCGAAAUAAACACCUUUUCCAUAAGCCGUGCCUGUAUAACAAUAGGAAAACUGGUAAUUUGAAAAAUGUAUGUUAUUACUGGUUUUUUU